UACGUAGGGUGCAAGCGUUAUCCGGAAUUAUUGGGCGUAAAGAGCUCGUAGGCGGUUUGUCGCGUCUGCUGUGAAAACUGGAGGCUCAACCUCCAGCCUGCAGUGGGUACGGGCAGACUAGAGUGCGGUAGGGGAGAUUGGAAUUCCUGGUGUAGCGGUGGAAUGCGCAGAUAUCAGGAGGAACACCGGUGGCGAAGGCGGUUCUCUGGGCCUUACCUGACGCUGAGGAGCGAAAGCGUGGGGAGCGAACAGG
rnacentral:rRNA from 1 species